rnacentral:rRNA from 1 species
CAGUCGCCGCGGUAAUACGUAGGCGGCAAGCGUUGUCCGGAAUUAUUGGGCGUAAAGGGCUCGCAGGCGGUUUCUUAAGUCUGAUGUGAAAGCCCCCGGCUCAACCGGGGAGGGUCAUUGGAAACUGGGAAACUUGAGUGCAGAAGAGGAGAGUGGAAUUCCACGUGUAGCGGUGAAAUGCGUAGAGAUGUGGAGGAACACCGGUGGCGAAGGCGACUCUCUGGUCUGUAACUGACGCUGAGGAGCGAAAGCGUGGGGAGCGAACAGGAUUAGAUACCCCUGUAGUCCAUGUCUCUUAUAC